UUCCAUACACACUUGCAUCUGUAUUCUCAGCUGUGCAGUAGUGUGUUCUGCAUCGUGAACACCAGAGGGCGCUGUUGCACUGCUGCACAAUAAACAAACUGAUUGUUGUUUUCCGUUCAGCAGGUGAAGGAAAAAACACCUACCAGAGCAAAACUGAUGUCAGCUUCGCUGCCCAGUGUUUAAAUGUUUAGAUCUGUUAAUGGUGCGGUUUAUUUAAACAGGGAGUUCAACAGGAAAGCUCAGUAGAUACUGGUUUUGGCCCCUGGGUUGCUACAUGGAUCCAUUUUAUAGUUACUGAAAGUAAUGACUUAAAAUUCUUCAAGUCUGUUUGAGAUACACCUCGUGCAACGCUUAAGAGAUUUAUGGUUCGACCGAGGCUGAGGAUCAGAGAGAGCACAGGAUGCCUCGGGCCGCUGCUACCAAGAACACUUUCUUGUUGGCGAGAAAUGUCCUCCAUCCAGAAGACCUCCCUAUGGCAGAAAACAUAAAUGCUUAAACAGCUUUACACUGGACUGUUACAAAGCACUGGCACUGGAGACUCCUCCCAUAAAUGCCAGAGCGACUGUCAGAGCUGCUGUUAUAGAAGAUUAAUCAACACCAUCUGACCAGUCAGAAUCGAGAAUUCAACAUUGCUAAAGGUGUGUGUGUUUCUCUCUCUGUCUCUCUCUUUCCCCCACCCCUUCAUGUCAGAGCAAAUGCUUAUUUAUACUCUCAGGGAAAACAGCUGUUUGGAAGCACCAGUCGGCUGGGUGACAAAAGCAUUGUGAAUAUGUAAUGAGGCGAACACGGCGCCUGUCUCCAUGCCCGGCAGGAUGCCUUCGCUCUGCAAAAACAAAUAAAGCAAACAAAAUGAAUGGCAGCCGUGGCAAAGUUUAACACGCUCGGUAAUUACAUUUAGCCGAGCAGCAGAAUGUGAGCCAGAAUGAAACUCACUGUUUUUCUGCGCCAUGCUCUCUCUUGCCGGGCCACGAGGGCCACCCAAAGCAUUUGUUUCCAAUCAGUGCCCACUGCUGCAGAAGAUAUCGGACUACGCGGGGUGUCAGCUUAUCCACGCAUGUAUCAUGGUCCAUUCCAUGGACUGGAGAAGGGGUUAAGAUAAUUGGAAGUGCAACCCGUCCAUUUCUACAACAAAUGAACAGUGCUUCAUUGCGUUCAUUAGGAAGGUGUUAGUUGUAACCAGAUUUAAUAAAAUGUAAUUAUAAUGUUUUAAGUAAAGAAUGAAACAGUU